rnacentral:rRNA from 1 species
CAGGCCUUCGGGCGCUGACGAGUGGCGGACGGGUGCGUAACGCGUAGGAAUCUGCCUGUUAGUGGGGGACAACGUGGGGAAACUCACGCUAAUACCGCAUACGCCCUGAGGGGGAAAGCGGGGGCUCUUCGGACCUCGCGCUAACAGAUGAGCCUGCGUGGGAUUAGCUAGUUGGUAGGGUAAAGGCCUACCAAGGCGACGAUCCCUAGCUGGUCUGAGAGGACGAUCAGCCACACUGGGACUGAGACACGGCCCAGACUCCUACGGGAGGCAGCAGUGGGGAAUAUUGGACAAUGGGCGCAAGCCUGAUCCAGCAAUACCGCGUGUGUGAAGAAGGCCUGAGGGUUGUAAAGCACUUUCACUGGGGAGGAAGAGCGGUUAGUUAAUACCUGAUCGUGUGACAUUACCCAGACAAGAAGCACCGGCUAACUCCGUGCCAGCAGCCGCGGUAAUACGGAGAGUGCAAGCGUUAAUCGGAAUUACUGGGCGUAAAGCGUGCGUAGGUGGCCCGUUAAGUCAGAUGUGAAAGCCCCGGGCUUAACCUGGGAACGGCAUUUGAAACUGGCGAGCUAGAGUUGAGUAGAGGGGAGUGGAAUUUCAGGUGUAGCGGUGAAAUGCGUAGAGAUCUGAAGGAACACCAGUGGCGAAGGCGGCUCCCUGGACUCAAACUGACGCUGAGGUACGAAAGCGUGGGUAGCAAACAGGAUUAGAUACCCUGGUAGUCCACGCUGUAAACGAUGUCAACUAACCGUUGGGCUUCUUUUAGGAGCUUAGUGGUGGAGCUAACGUAUUAAGUUGACCGCCUGGGGAGUACGGCCGCAAGGUUAAAACUCAAAUGAAUUGACGGGGGCCCGCACAAGCGGUGGAGCAUGUGGUUUAAUUCGAUGCAACGCGAAGAACCUUACCUACCCUUGACAUCCA